UAACAGGUGCAUGGAUCAGGCGCCGUGGAGCUUAAAAGGGAAUCCCGUGAGAAUCGGGAACGGUCCCGCCGCUGUGAACGGGGACGAAAUCCGAUAAGACCACUGCCUUGGGGGGCCGAGGCGGGAAGGUUCGGAGAGUAGAACGAUCCGUAAGUCAGAAGACCUGCCUGAUGCCAUUUCGGUGA
rnacentral:ncRNA from 2 species